CUACGGAGUGCUGCAGUGGGGGAUAUUGCACAAUGGGCGCAAGCCUGAUGCAGCCAUGCCGCGUGUAUGAAGAAGGCCUUCGGGUUGUAAAGUACUUUCAGCGGGGAGGAAGGGAGUAAAGUUAAUACCUUUGCUCAUUGACGUUACCCGCAGAAGAAGCACCGGCUAACUCCGUGCCAGCAGCCGCGGUAAUACGGAGGGUGCAAGCGUUAAUCAGAAUUACUGGGCGUAAAGCGCACGCAGGCGGUUUGUUAAGUCAGAUGUGAAAUCCCCGGGCUCAACCUGGGAACUGCAUCUGAUACUGGCAAGCUUGAGUCUCGUAGAGGGGGGUAGAAUUCCAGGUGUAGCGGUGAAAUGCGUAGAGAUCUGGAGGAAUACCGGUGGCGAAGGCGGCCCCCUGGACGAAGACUGACGCUCAGGUGCGAAAGCGUGGGGAGCAAACAGGAUUAGAUACCCGAGUAGUC
rnacentral:rRNA from 1 species